rnacentral:lncRNA from 1 species
CACCACAGUGACCAUGCUGGAUCCUUAACCCUCUAGGCCACCAAGGAACUCCUCCAGGAAAGUUCUGCUUAAGGAUGGUCAUGCUCUAAGAUUCUUCGGUGAUUAUUUCCACCAGCAUCUUCAAUCUUCAGUGAAACAAGGGAAAGUGCAAGGAGGCACUUUGAUAAGUCAGGUGAAUGUGUGGGGUAUGGCUUGAGGAAAUAUUUAAACCACAGGAACCCAUGACCUGCCCAGGGAGAGGAUAUUGUGAGAGAAGAAAUUAGGGCUCCAGCCUGAACCCUGGAAAAUUCCAACAUUUAAAGACUGGAUGAGGAGGAGCAGUCAGCCAAGGAGCCUGAGAGAGGAGGGCUGGAGAAGUAGAGGGGUACCAGGAGGAUAUAGAUUCGGGGAAGAACAGCCAGGAGCGUCUUUGAGAAGGCAGGAUUUGAUCACUUAUCACAAGAGAAGACACUUGGGAGGGGGCUGUCCCCAGGGCAGGUGGAAGUUCCUGGGACAGAGAUCAAAUUCAAGCCACAGCAGUGACAAUGCUGGAUCCUUAACCCACUAGGCCACCAGGCAACUCCUCAAGAGGAGAAAUUUUAAUGGAGUGGGAGAGGCUGAAGCCAUAUGGAAAGCUGAGACAAUCCAAGGGUCACGGUGGUUUCAAGGGCUCUGCUUAGUCCAGCUGUGUAUGAAGUUUGGUUUACAAACUAAAAUUCCCCGGAAACUAAAAGUCGAGUGAAAAAACUAAAGUCCUGCAGGAUCCUUCAUUCCUGAGAGGAAAGAACUCAGGCAGAACUGGUAAUAGAAAAGAUUUGGCAAUGUAUAUAGUAAAAUUUCAGUAAACAGAUCAAAGAACAGGUUUUUGUUCAAGUGGGUGGAUUUAUUUACUGUUAAAUAUUUCUCCAUAAUAUUUCUGUAUAAAUAUCCUGUGAGUGCAACUAUAUUUGAACCAUUUGUGUGGGAAGUACCACACAAAAAGAAGUUUUGUUGGAGUUAUGAUACAUGGUUUUGAAAAAAUUAUGAUGUUUAUAUUGCUACCUUAUUAUCCUCUACGUAAAUGAAAAAAAAUCUAUUCACGUGACAUGGAAAGAAAGGAACUUGGGUUUCUGUGGUUUCUGCUCAACAUUUUGGGGCAGAAAAAUAGUCCCCAGGACAGAUAGGCAGUGUAAGGGGACCAGGAACAGGUAUUCCUCAUUUGUUUGCAAUUCUUUUCUUUCUUUUGCAGCUGCACCUGUGGCAUAUGGAAGUUCCAGGGCCAGGGAUCAAACCUGAGCCGAAUUCCUAUUGUGGUUCAGUGAUAACGAACCUAACGAGUAGCCAUGAGGACGAGGGUUUGAUCUCAGACCUCGCUCAGCAGGUUAAGGAUCCGGAGUUGCUGUGGCUGUGGUGUGAGCUUACAAGCGAAGCUCCAAUUCGACUUCUAGCCUAAGAACUUCCAUAUGUCAUGGGUACGGCCCUAAAAAGACAAAAAGAGAAAAAAAUAAUCUAUUUCUCAACUUACUACCUAACUUCCUAGUGACAAGAUCAGAGUUGGCCAUCAAGGCUGCGUCAUUUAUUUGCAUCAUUUCCCACUGUGAUUUCAUACCUAAACAUGAUUCCAUGGGUUUGUUUCUAUGGGCAGCUGGACUGCCCUGGCUUCCUGGCGGCUGUCCAAGCCCCAGCGAAAUGGCUGCAGGUGGAAACCAAGGGGGGGCAGGCAGCUGUCUUAAUAUUAUCAACUAAUCCUUUGUUACUUCGUUAUUGGCAUCUUCCUGCCAUGAGCCAGCAGAAAGAAUCCCAGUUUAGUUCCUGAGGUCAAAGGUGGGAUGGAGCAAAGGAUGAGAAGGGGCAGAAGGAACACAGAUCAAUCUUCACUGACCUCUCAGCCCGACACUGGCUGUAAUCAAUCUCGACAUCGGUUUUCUACUUACUGAGCCUUUGUUGCGUGCCUUGGGUGGUCACCAUGCUCGAGGCUGGCCACCUUCUUAAAGUAAGCCACUAUUAUUAAUUAUGAGAGGCAAAACCAUAUCAGGAUAUGAGUCCUUUUGCAAUAGAAAUGACCUUGAGAAAAGUAAUAAAAAUGGCCACUGCCUUUGUAAAAUUCAGAAAACUUAACACCAUAUUCCUUCCAGCCCCAUUUGAUACCUUUUACAACUUCUGCCCACUCAAUUAGAGGAAAGUGACAAGAUGGGAGGCAUAGAGGUUUCAGAUUAAAAUAUAUCUCAAGAAACUUUUUCAUGCUCCAAGGUAGAAAUUAUUCAUAGCCUUACAUACAGAUAAAGUCUCCCUCUUUCAACUUUAUAAAACUGUUUAGAACACCUUUCCCCACCCCCCAGUCAAACUGCUAUUUCUUAUUCCUUAUUUUUAAAUGUGUUUUAUUUAGAACCAGCUACUUCUCCUCUCACUUACUGUGAUGUACAUUUAUAUUUGAAAGAUCAUAACCUAAGAUCAGGUAGUGACAGGGACAGAAUAGGCACGGGUGGUUGUAGAAGUCCCAAUAAAGGACCAUAAACAGAGAGGGAAAUCUAGAGGAUGUUGAGAGAUCACUUAAGUUAAGAAAUUGCUCAAAACAGCCAUCAGAACAAGGCAGGCUUGCUUGACUAGUGGAGGUGUGAGAAUUGCCUCAGGUCAUUGGGUGGGGGAUGGGAUGAGCGCUGCAUUCAGAUUCAGACCAAGGCCAGGAGUCUGAGGACUACCCUUCUGCUGAUUUGAAUCCACACCUUACCAAAUACCAAGGAGGAGCUACUACUCUCAGAAAGGAAGAAGCCUUCCUUUCCAACCUCGACUCCCCUUGGAUGAUAAACUGUAGCCCACUGGAUCCUGGGGGCGGAGCCUCCUUGCCUGCCCGCUUAUAUCUCUCACAAGCGUCCUAUCUUAAUAAAUCUAUUUCUUGCCUAUCAUUUUGUCUCUCGCUGAAUCCUUCUUCGAGGAGGCAUAAAGAACCUGAACCUCAGUAAGUCCAGACAUUGGGUGAGUGCCAAUUUAAAACAUUAAAACGUGGGUUCAAGUCCCAAUCUGUGUCCUGGAUAGGUUCAGGCCGUUAGUGCUAUCAGUUUUAGCAGUAAUGAUGUUAUUUGAAAGGUUGGUCAUUUACUUGCACUGAGAAAAGAUCACUUUUUUUUAAGUGGCAUGUUUACGUGUGUACACAUCUUUAAGAAGCCACUCCAUUAUGACAUUACACAUUCUCUUUCAGAAUAACUUAAUUUUAAAGCUCAUUCCUUUUCCAUGAUUUCUUCUAAUACUCCUUUUGCACAAAUGGUUCUCAUAAGGAUGGAGAGAAAAGACACCUUUUUUUUUUCCAUUUAGGGCCACACCCACUGCAUAUGGAGCUUCCCAGGCUAGGGGCGAAUUGGAGCUAUAGCUGGCAGCCUACACCACAGCAACGCAGGAUCCGAGCAGUGUCUGGAACCUAUACCACAGCUCUUGGCAACACUGGAUCCUUAACCCACUGAGCAAAGCGAGGGAUCAAAUCCGCAUUCUCAUGGAUGCUAAUUGGGUUUGUUACCACUGAGCCAUGAUGGGGAACUCCCACACUGGGCCAUUUUUUGACUUGGCAAAACGAGCAGUCUCAUGGACUGAGACUAAAAGGUGGGCCGGCUGGGUCUCAAAGAGGUCCCCUGGGGAUAUGGCCUCUAGGGGACUUCGCCCUUGAGUGGGAAAUUUGCUGAUAACAGAGAUAAUUGGGAGUAGGAUUAAACCCAGGGUUUACAUCCAUAUUUUCUCUUCUGGGCUCUUUGCCCUUGAGCAACUGCGCUGGGCACCCAUCUGCUACCCAUAACUGAAGCCUUUGUGUUUUAAACAAAGUCGGCUUACAGGGCGCUUCCUUCUCC